rnacentral:rRNA from 1 species
GUUUAGUGGCGGACGGGUGAGUAACACGUGAGCAACCUGCCUUUAAGAGGGGGAUAACAUUGAGAAAUCAGUGCUAAUACCGCAUAAAGCAUAUCUACCGCAUGAUAAGAUAUGCCAAAGGAGUAAUCCGCUUAAAGAUGGGCUCGCGGCUGAUUAGUUAGUUGGUGGGGUAACGGCCUACCAAGACGAUGAUCAGUAGCCGAGCUGAGAGGCACAACGGCCACAUUGGGACUGAGACACGGCCCAGACUCCUACGGGAGGCAGCAGUCGGGAAUAUUGCACAAUGGAGGAAACUCUGAUGCAGUGACGCCGCGUAUAGGAAGAAGGUCUUUGGAUUGUAAACUAUUGUCGACAGGGAAGAAACGAAUGACAGUACCUGUGGAGGAAGCCCCGGCAAACUACGUGCCAGCAGCCGCGGUAAUACGUAGGGGGCGAGCGUUAUCCGGAUUUAUUGGGUGUAAAGGGUGCGUAGACGGUUAUGCAAGUUGGUUGUGAAAUCCCGAGGCUCAACUUCGGAACUGCAACCAAAACUGUGUAACUCGAGUGCGGGAGAGGAAAGCGGAAUUCCUAGUGUAGCGGUGAAAUGCGUAGAUAUUAGGAGGAACACCAGUGGCGAAGGCGGCUUUCUGGACCGUAACUGACGUUGAGGCACGAAAGUGUGGGGAGCAAACAGGAUUAGAUACCCUGGUAGUCCACACCGUAAACGAUGGAUACUAGGUGUAGGGAGGGUUAAACCUUUCUGUGCCGCCGUAAACACAAUAAGUAUCCCACCUGAGUAGUACGACCGCAAGGUUGAAACUCAAAGGAAUUGACGGGGGCCCGCACAAGCAGUGGA